rnacentral:rRNA from 1 species
AUGAUGCUCGUCAAUGUGUGGAGGGACCGCCAUGGGAUCUGCAGUGGAAAGCAGCCACCGCCACAUCGACCUGGCCUCCUUCCAUCUGAUUCCCGCAGGGGCGGUGUGGAUCCGGGGUUAGGCGAGUGUGGGGAAAGAGGAAGAAGACCAAGAAAGGAAAGGAAAAUGAGAAGCUCGGGUGAUGGAGGUAAUUCUGGAGAAGAGCUCCUGGUGGUGGGAUCAAUUCAGGGAGGAGGUGGAUAUCAUAGCGGAGGAGAUGAAGGGUGUGUCGAUGACAUAGAAGAAGAGGAGGAGCUUAAGGCUGCGGAGAAAAAGGAACAACAGCAGAGUAUCAGACUUCGAUCUAGCUGA